rnacentral:rRNA from 1 species
GGGUUGUGAGGUUAAGCGACUAAGCGUACACGGUGGAUGCCCUGGCAGUCAGAGGCGAUGAAGGACGUGCUAAUCUGCGAUAAGCGUCGGUAAGGUGAUAUGAACCGUUAUAACCGGCGAUUUCCGAAUGGGGAAACCCAGUGUGAUUCGUCACACUAUCAUUAACUGAAUCCAUAGGUUAAUGAGGCGAACCGGGGGAACUGAAACAUCUAAGUACCCCGAGGAAAAGAAAUCAACCGAGAUUCCCCCAGUAGCGGCGAGCGAACGGGGAGGAGCCCAGAGCCUGAAUCAGUGUGUGUGUUAGUGGAAGCGUCUGGAAAGGCGCGCGAUACAGGGUGACAGCCCCGUACACAAAAAUGCACAUGCUGUGAGCUCGAUGAGUAGGGCGGGACACGUGGUAUCCUGUCUGAAUAUGGGGGGACCAUCCUCCAAGGCUAAAUACUCCUGACUGACCGAUAGUGAACCAGUACCGUGAGGGAAAGGCGAAAAGAACCCCGGCGAGGGGAGUGAAAAAGAACCUGAAACCGUGUACGUACAAGCAGUGGGAGCACAGAGCAAUCUGUGUGACUGCGUACCUUUUGUAUAAUGGGUCAGCGACUUAUAUUCUGUAGCAAGGUUAACCGAAUAGGGGAGCCGAAGGGAAACCGAGUCUUAACUGGGCGUUAAGUUGCAGGGUAUAGACCCGAAACCCGGUGAUCUAGCCAUGGGCAGGUUGAAGGUUGGGUAACACUAACUGGAGGACCGAACCGACUAAUGUUGAAAAAUUAGCGGAUGACUUGUGGCUGGGGGUGAAAGGCCAAUCAAACCGGGAGAUAGCUGGUUCUCCCCGAAAGCUAUUUAGGUAGCGCCUCGUGAAUUCAUCUCCGGGGGUAGAGCACUGUUUCGGCAAGGGGGUCAUCCCGACUUACCAACCCGAUGCAAACUGCGAAUACCGGAGAAUGUUAUCACGGGAGACACACGGCGGGUGCUAACGUCCGUCGUGAAGAGGGAAACAACCCAGACCGCCAGCUAAGGUCCCAAAGUCAUGGUUAAGUGGGAAACGAUGUGGGAAGGCCCAGACAGCCAGGAUGUUGGCUUAGAAGCAGCCAUCAUUUAAAGAAAGCGUAAUAGCUCACUGGUCGAGUCGGCCUGCGCGGAAGAUGUAACGGGGCUAAACCAUGCACCGAAGCUGCGGCAGCGACGCUUAUGCGUUGUUGGGUAGGGGAGCGUUCUGUAAGCCUGUGAAGGUGUACUGUGAGGUACGCUGGAGGUAUCAGAAGUGCGAAUGCUGACAUAAGUAACGAUAAAGCGGGUGAAAAGCCCGCUCGCCGGAAGACCAAGGGUUCCUGUCCAACGUUAAUCGGGGCAGGGUGAGUCGACCCCUAAGGCGAGGCCGAAAGGCGUAGUCGAUGGGAAACAGGUUAAUAUUCCUGUACUUGGUGUUACUGCGAAGGGGGGACGGAGAAGGCUAUGUUGGCCGGGCGACGGUUGUCCCGGUUUAAGCGUGUAGGCUGGUUUUCCAGGCAAAUCCGGAAAAUCAAGGCUGAGGCGUGAUGACGAGGCACUACGGUGCUGAAGCAACAAAUGCCCUGCUUCCAGGAAAAGCCUCUAAGCAUCAGGUAACAUCAAAUCGUACCCCAAACCGACACAGGUGGUCAGGUAGAGAAUACCAAGGCGCUUGAGAGAACUCGGGUGAAGGAACUAGGCAAAAUGGUGCCGUAACUUCGGGAGAAGGCACGCUGAUAUGUAGGUGAAGCGACUUGCUCGUGGAGCUGAAAUCAGUCGAAGAUACCAGCUGGCUGCAACUGUUUAUUAAAAACACAGCACUGUGCAAACACGAAAGUGGACGUAUACGGUGUGACGCCUGCCCGGUGCCGGAAGGUUAAUUGAUGGGGUCAGCGCAAGCGAAGCUCUUGAUCGAAGCCCCGGUAAACGGCGGCCGUAACUAUAACGGUCCUAAGGUAGCGAAAUUCCUUGUCGGGUAAGUUCCGACCUGCACGAAUGGCGUAAUGAUGGCCAGGCUGUCUCCACCCGAGACUCAGUGAAAUUGAACUCGCUGUGAAGAUGCAGUGUACCCGCGGCAAGACGGAAAGACCCCGUGAACCUUUACUAUAGCUUGACACUGAACAUUGAGCCUUGAUGUGUAGGAUAGGUGGGAGGCUUAGAAGUGUGGACGCCAGUCUGCAUGGAGCCGACCUUGAAAUACCACCCUUUAAUGUUUGAUGUUCUAACGUUGACCCGUGAUCCGGGUUGCGGACAGUGUCUGGUGGGUAGUUUGACUGGGGCGGUCUCCUCCUAAAGAGUAACGGAGGAGCACGAAGGUUGGCUAAUCCUGGUCGGACAUCAGGAGGUUAGUGCAAUGGCAUAAGCCAGCUUGACUGCGAGCGUGACGGCGCGAGCAGGUGCGAAAGCAGGUCAUAGUGAUCCGGUGGUUCUGAAUGGAAGGGCCAUCGCUCAACGGAUAAAAGGUACUCCGGGGAUAACAGGCUGAUACCGCCCAAGAGUUCAUAUCGACGGCGGUGUUUGGCACCUCGAUGUCGGCUCAUCACAUCCUGGGGCUGAAGUAGGUCCCAAGGGUAUGGCUGUUCGCCAUUUAAAGUGGUACGCGAGCUGGGUUUAGAACGUCGUGAGACAGUUCGGUCCCUAUCUGCCGUGGGCGCUGGAGAACUGAGGGGGGCUGCUCCUAGUACGAGAGGACCGGAGUGGACGCAUCACUGGUGUUCGGGUUGUCAUGCCAAUGGCACUGCCCGGUAGCUAAAUGCGGAAGAGAUAAGUGCUGAAAGCAUCUAAGCACGAAACUUGCCCCGAGAUGAGUUCUCCCUGACUCCUUGAGAGUCCUGAAGGAACGUUGAAGACGACGACGUUGAUAGGCCGGGUGUGUAAGCGCAGCGAUGCGUUGAGCUAACCGGUACUAAUGAACCGUGAGGCUUAACCUUACAACGCCGAAG